rnacentral:tRNA from 1 species
GCUCGUCUAGCUCAGUUGGUUAGAGCGUCGUGCUAAUAACGCGAAUGUCGCAGGUUCGAACCCUGCGAUGAGCA